rnacentral:rRNA from 1 species
UACGUUGGGGGCAAGCGUUGUCCGGAUUUAUUGGGCGUAAAGAGCGUGUAGGCGGCUUUGCAAGUCCGUUGUGAAAACUCGAGGCUCAACCUCGAGACGCCGGUGGAAACUGCAAAGCUAGAGUCCGGAAGAGGAGAGUGGAAUUCCUGGUGUAGCGGUGAAAUGCGCAGAUAUCAGGAAGAACACCCGUGGCGAAGGCGGCUCUCUGGGACAGUACUGACGCUGAGACGCGAAAGCGUGGGGAGCAAACAGG